rnacentral:lncRNA from 1 species
AUAGUAUACCAUAAUUACACAGCAUUAAUCAACACAUCUUUCUUUCCAGGGCCCCAUGAAAGUAAAAAUAUUUACCUUGUCAAAAAAUGAGCAGAAUUUUUAGUACCUUGUGGUGUUUGUUUCAACCCUCUGCCAAGAGUUCAAAUCCCACUAUAGUCAACUUUUCCUUUCAUCCUUUUGGAGUUGAUAAGUUAAAUAGCUGACUAAGGUGGUAGGUUGUUGGCACUGUUAGAAGGGUCAGGAAAGAUAUCUUGUGGCGUCUGUCCAGUUGGUGACUCCUUGCAAUGACAUUGGUGUCCAGCUGUGUCAAUCUGAGUUGGUGACCUUCCCUUUGGUUUAACACUAGUGGCAUGGAAAGGAAUGACUCGUGUGUAUGUGCAACUGUUAGUCUUCUUCAUAAGCAAAAUUUUCUUAGAUCUGUGCAUACAUGUACUGAGGCAGGGUCUGUCUUGGUCGAUUGAGGGCUCCUUAUAUAAAAAAACCAGUUGGGAUUUUUUUAACACAAAAUGUGAUUUUCCUUCAAAAUGAACUUAUUAAAUAAAGUAAGGAAUAACAGGGAUUUGCAGAGUACUUGUGAUAUAUACAACGAAGCAGUGGUCCCCAAUUUUAAUUUUUUAUUUUUUCUGGACCACUGGCUCGUUUCAAGCUGAACAAUUUUCUCACAAACCAAUCAUGGUUUCAAUCUGGACAAUUUUCUCACAGACCGGUCAUGGUCUCAAGCUGGACAAAUUCUUUCACAGACCAGUCGUGUAUAAAUAAAAUGAGAUAUCCAUUGGCACCCCACCCUCUUUGUCGAAAUAAAGUGUUAGACACUUAUGGUAUGCAAAUUAGUUACUCCACUUCUCUGAAGUUAUUGUAUUUGUUGAGUUUAUAAAGAGACUGAUUGCGUGUUUCUCUGUGAUUAGUCAAAUGAUGUUAACACUGAUGAGACCCCAAUAAUGCUCGAAAAUUAAAAAGCUAUUCAUAAUUUUUUCCAAAGUAUGGAGAAAAGGCUAAAUGUGCCCAGUUUACGUAUCUAUGACAUGGGUUACAUAAUAUAUAGCUUGCUUAUUACAUAUAUGAUGCAAAUAUAAUUAUCGCACUGUUCAUUAUGUGCUUUAUAACUAGUCAAUAAAAUUUAGAUAUUUAUUCUUUCUGUGCAGCCCAGUAUAGGUCUGUGACCUGGUGGCCAGGGACUCCUGCUAUUAAGCAUCAAGUAUCAGUAUUGAAGUUAAAAAUCUGUUUCAAGCCUACCGGACCAUGAGGUUGAAGCUUAACCCUUGACCUGGUUUCUGUGAUGUUUAAUUGAAUGGAAAUACAAGGCUCUUCUCUGACUAAGAAGUCAGUCUGUCAUAGAGUUGAAAUGCCCCUCUUCUCACUCGUUGAUAGUGCCCCCUUUUGGCGGGGGGGGGGGGGGUGAAAUGAAGUGCCUUGGUUCUUGAAAUUUGAUCCGCCAAAUAUUUUUUAGUUAAUUUCUUAAUUAGCCUGAUCAAAGCAUGGCUAUUAAUUAUUCAAGUGCAAAGAUUUAGAACAAUUAAGAAUUUGAGGUCUUGAAGUGCAGAUGUAGGUAGUUUCCUGGUUGUGGUAGAUGGAUCAGAUGCUGUAGUGUCAGACGGAUUACAACAUUGUGUUGAUUCUACCAGGAACAAUGGUUAUAGAUGAUUUCUUGGUGUUAUGCAGAACCAUCAUGUUUUGUAUACGGCACUUGACGCCCUUUUGUUACUAACCCGGCCAAAACCGGCUCUGGCUCUGUGGUAAAAUGUCCUGCUUUCAUAAGUUUUGAAUUAAAAUCUUCCACCAAACCUUAGUCACAAUUUACGUUCCUAACACUAGUUUAAUGAUAACUAAAUUAUUUUACUAAAUUCUUUGUUAUAUUUAAAAUAAUUGAAGGAAACACAAAGCAUCUCAAAAUAAAUACAGUAACGAAAGGGUUACCAUUCCUUGCAUUUUGCUAUGAUAUAGUUAUGCCAUGCAACAACGAACAUAUUGCACAGCAGAGAAAUUGUGCCAAAAGAAGAAAGGCAGAAAAUAAAUUGCAUUUAACUAGAUACUUGUGGUUAUGUGAUGCUGUGGCAUUCAUACUUAAAAAUAUUAGGUCUGUUUAUCAUAUUUAAAAAAAAAUUAAAUCAAAAUUUAUACAACUUUGACUUUUCACCUGUGGAAAAUCCUUUACCUUUUUUUUAGCAAACAAGAAAAGCCACAUGUGACAAGGUGAAGAACUUCACUUUCAUGGAGCCCUAAAAAAAAAGAAAGAAAUAAUCAAUUACAUAUUAUCCAUGGUUACCCACUAUAUUAUCCAUCUGUCUGUCUGUCUGUGUACAUGUAGGUAUUGCAUAUAAAAAAUUAAAAUAUUUAUGUGUGUGUGUGUAAAUAUACCUGAUAUUAAAAUAGAAAUUAUUCUUGUAUAUAUAUGUAUAUGUAUAUAUAUACACUUUAUGUGUGAGUUAACCAGAUUACCGUUGGUUUCAUGUAGGAAAAUUUUAUUGUUUUCAUCCAUGAUGAAAAUGAACACCAAUGCCCCAUGGCAAUGAGUUUGAAAAUUAUUAAGAGAUAGCUGUCUUGACAUGAAACCAGUUAACUCACAAAUGAAGAAUAUCCACCAAUGUAGUUUCGAGCAUUCAUUCCCACUGUUCAAUAUUAAUGUGUGUGUGUAUGUAUAUAUAUAUAUAUAUAUAUACUUGCUUUUUUCAUAGCGUUUUUCAGAUGGCCAGAUAACCGAAGAGAUGGUGUUGUGGAUUUCCACCUUGGCAUCUGAAACUCAGAGUUUUAUCUUGGCUAUUGAAUAAUUGUCACAUAUUAUUUUUCAGAUAUAUAUAUAUAAGCACAAAACUGUCUCAAACCAUUCUCUAGUUUUAUGUUCCGAUCUCCCUGUUUUAAGGUGACCUAAAUUAAAACUUUCCAUCUGAAUUUCAAUUUCUAAAUUUGUGUUCCAAACACCAGCUUCUUCGUAAUUUCCAAAAUUAAUUUAGAAACAAAGGCAGUGUAAUUUCAACAGAAAUUUAAUAACAAAAAUGGGUUAUUAAACAGCUGGGUGGGGCGGUGGGGCGGAACAACAACAACACAAAACAAAAUAAAUUAUUUCUCAGGAAGAAAGUAACUAAGGUGUUAACAAAGGUGAACUACAAUCAGUCAAACAUUAAAAUAAAUAAGUCGAUAAAACAGAUGUGUGAGUGAAAGCAGGUGCCUUUUUGCAGCUUGUAUUUGUAAGAAGUUUUCAAAUUCAUUUAUGUUUGCUAUCUGAGGGAUGACGGCUGGUCCCAAUUUUGUUGAAUAUAUAAUAUAUAAUGAUGAAUAUAGAUAUAUACAUUAUAUAUAUAUAUGCACACACACGCACAUUAUAUAUAUAUUUAAUAUCAUGUGGGUGAUAAGCUUAUAGUGUGCUUUACAAAGCUCUUCCACGGGUAUCAGCUAUCCUAUGUUACCUUACAGCAGGGAUUCUCCUUUUACUGGAUACACAUGUGGAAAUCCAUUAAUAUCCACAGAAUUCAUUAAAAAAAAA